AAUACGUUUUGAAGAGUUACAACCAGCUGAUAUCUUCCGCAUCUUAUGGUCAAUGCCUUUAUUUUCUACUGAAUAAAUUAAUAAAACCAA